rnacentral:rRNA from 1 species
AUUGAACGCUGGCGGCAGGCUUAACACAUGCAAGUCGAACGAGUGGCGGACGGGUGAGUAAUGCUUGGGAAUCUGGCUUAUGGAGGGGGAUAACGACGGGAAACUGUCGCUAAUACCGCAUACCAUAGGAUGAGCCCAAGGGGGAUUAGGUAGGUGGUGGGGUAAAGGCAUACCAAGGCGACGAUCUCUAGCUGGUCUGAGAGGAUGAACAGCCACACCGGGACUGAGACACGGCCCCGACUCCUACGGGAGGCAGCAGUGGGGAAUAUUGCGCAAUGGGGGCAAGCUGAUGCAGCCAUGCCGCGUGAAUGAAGAAGGCCUUCGGGUUGUAAAGUUCUUUCGGUGAGGAGGCGUUACCCACAGAAGAAGCACCGGCUAACUCCGUGCCAGCAGCCGCGGUAAUUC